rnacentral:rRNA from 1 species
UCCAAUCGAACCCGGAGAUAGCUGGUUCUCCCCGAAAUAGCUUUAGGGCUAGCGUCGAGGUAAGUUGCGUGAAGGUAGAGCACUGAAUAUGUGAUGGCCCCAUCUCGGGGUACUGAGCAUAAUCAAACUGCGAAUGUCACGCCAACAUGCUCGGCAGUCAGACAGCGGGUGAUAAGGUCCGUUGUCAAGAGGGAAACAGCCCAGACCAUCAGCUAAGGUCCCAAAAUGUAUGCUAAGUGGAAAAGGAUGUGGAGAUGUACAGACAACUAGGAGGUUGGCUCAGAAGCAGCCAUCCUUUAAAGAGUGCGUAACAGCUCACUAGUCGAAUGACUCUGCGCCGAUAAUUUACCGGGGCUAAGCAUACUACCGAAGCUAUGGAUCCCAAGGGAUGGUAGGGGAGCGUUCCAUGAACGGAGAAGUACGACCGAAAGGACGUGUGGAGAUCAUGGAAGAGAGAAUGCCGGUGUGAGUAGCGGAACGUGGGUGAGAAUCCCACGCACCGAAAACCCAAGGUUUCCAGAGGAAGGUUCGUCCGCUCUGGGUAAGUCGGGACCUAAGGCGAGGCCGAAAGGCGUAGUCGAUGGACAACAGGUAGAGAUUCCUGUACCCGUAUAUAUGUGAAGGAAUGACGGAGAGAGGAAGCUGCAGCCAGCGGCUGGAAGAGCUGGUGCAAGCGAGAUAUCGGGAUGGCAGGCAAAUCCACCAUCCGAAACGAGAAGGCGUGAAGCGUACGGAAAGCUACGGCGAGUACGGAAGGCAGUGGAGGAACUUCCAAGAAAAGUUUCUAACGUUAAGUAUAUAUGGCCCGUACCGAAAAUGGACACACAUGGGUGAGGAGAGAAUCCUAAGGUGAGCGAGAGAACUAUAGCUAAGGAACUCUGCAAAAUGACUCCGUAACUUAGGGAGAAGGAGUGCUCAUAGAGAUAUGAGCCGCAGUGAAACGGCCCAAGCGACUGUUUACCAAAAACACAGCUCUCUGCUAAGCCGCAAGGCGAAGUAUAGGGGGUGACGCCUGCCCGGUGCUGGAAGGUUAAGGGGAGGGGUUAACGCAAGUGAAGCCCUGAACUGAAGCCCCAGUAAACGGCGGCCGUAACUAUAACGGUCCUAAGGUAGCGAAAUUCCUUGUCAGGUAAGUUCUGACCCGCACGAAAGGCGUAACGAUUUGGGCGCUGUCUCAGCUGUAGACUCGGUGAAGUCUUAGUACCUGUGAAGAUGCAGGUUACCCGCGACUAGACGGAAAGACCCCAUGGAGCUUCACUGCAGGUUGAUAUUGGGAUUUGAUGCAGCAUGUACAGGAUAGGUAGGAGGCAAAGAGAUGGAUACGCCAGUAUUCAAGGAGCCGCUGUUGGGAUACUACCCCUGUUGUAUUGGAUUUCUAACCGGACGACGUAGAGCCGUUGACGGGACAGUGUCAGUCGGGCAGUUUGACUGGGGCGGUCGCCUCCCAAAGAGUAACGGAGGCGCCCAAAGAUACCCUCAGCUUGGAUGGAAACCAAGCGCAGAGUGCAAAGGCAAAAGGGUGUUUGACUGCGAGACCCACAAGUCGAGCAGGGACGAAAGUCGGGCUUAGUGAUCCGGCGGUGCUGAAUGGAAAGGCCGUCGCUCAACGGAUAAAAGCUACCCUGGGGAUAACAGGCUGAUCUCCCCCAAGAGUUCACAUCGACGGGGAGGUUUGGCACCUCGAUGUCGGCUCAUCGCAUCCUGGAGCUGUAGUCGGUUCCAAGGGUUGGGCUGUUCGCCCAUUAAAGCGGUACGCGAGCUGGGUUCAGAACGUCGUGAGACAGUUCGGUCCCUAUCUGUCGUGGGCGCAGGAAAUUUGAGAAGAGCUGUCCUCAGUACGAGAGGACCGGGAUGGACGCAUCAAUGGUGGACCAGUUGUCACGCCAGUGGCAUAGCUGGGUAGCUAAAUGCGGAAGGGAUAAACGCUGAAGGCAUCUAAGUGUGAAACCCACUUCAAGAUGAGAUUUCCCAUUGCGCAAGCAAGUAAGACCCCUUAAAGACGAUAAGGUAGAUAGGUCAGGAGUGUAAGCAUGGUGACAUGUUAAGCGGACUGAUACUAAUAGGUCGAGGGCUUGACCGA